AAAUUGAAGAGUUUGAUCAUGGCUCAGAUUGAACGCUGGCGGCAGGCCUAACACAUGCAAGUCGAACGGUAACAGGAAACAGCUUGCUGUUUCGCUGACGAGUGGCGGACGGGUGAGUAAUGUCUGGGAAACUGCCUGAUGGAGGGGGAUAACUACUGGAAACGGUAGCUAAUACCGCAUAACGUCGCAAGACCAAAGAGGGGGACCCUCGGGCCUCUUGCCAUCGGAUGUGCCCAGAUGGGAUUAGCUUGUUGGUGGGGUAACGGCUCACCAAGGCGACGAUCCCUAGCUGGUCUGAGAGGAUGACCAGCCACACUGGAACUGAGACACGGUCCAGACUCCUACGGGAGGCAGCAGUGGGGAAUAUUGCACAAUGGGCGCAAGCCUGAUGCAGCCAUGCCGCGUGUAUGAAGAAGGCCUUCGGGUUGUAAAG
rnacentral:rRNA from 1 species